GGGCCCGCACAAGCGGUGGAGUAUGUGGUUUAAUUCGAUGCAACGCGAAGAACCUUACCAGGGUUUGACAUCCUGCGAAUCUCUUGGAAACUUGAGAGUGCCUUCGGGAGCGCAGUGACAGGUGGUGCAUGGCUGUCGUCAGCUCGUGUCGUGAGAUGUUGGGUUAAGUCCCGCAACGAGCGCAACCCACGUCUUUAGUUGCCAGCAUUUAGUUGGGCACUCUAGAGAGACCGCCGGUGAUAAACCGGAGGAAGGUGUGGAUGACGUCAAGUCAUCAUGCCCCUUACAUCCUGGGCUACACACGUACUACAAUGGUAGGUACAGAGAGCAGCCAAUGCGCGAGCAUGAGCA
rnacentral:rRNA from 1 species